GAUGUUUUACCUAAAGCUCCUUACCUCUUAAGUUUAUAGGUGCUUUGUGAGGACAAAGCCGAGCUGAAAGGACACCACAGCCAUCUUCAACAGGUUAAUACUUUGGCUUUCUGACAUUAAGGAUCUAGGAAAUAAUCCCACAGAACACUCCAGGUUAGAGCCAUCUGGAAGAUGAAGCCCUGGCUGCAGUUGGUGCUCUUGACCUGUAUUUGCUUGAUCUGGCAAACAGAAGCUGAGUUUUUCACCUCUAUAGGUCAAAUGACAGACCUGAUUUAUGCAGAGAAAGACUUGGUGCAGUCUUUAAAGGAGUAUAUCAGAGCAGAAGAAUCCAAGCUCUCUCAGAUUAAAAGCUGGGCUGAAAAAAUGGAUGUACUGACUAGCAAAUCAACCUCCGAUCCAGAAGGAUAUCUGGCACAUCCUGUAAAUGCAUAUAAACUGGUGAAGCGUUUAAAUACUGAUUGGUUGGAGUUAGAAAACCUAGUUCUUCAGGACACAACAAAUGGCUUUAUUGCAAAUCUCACAAUUCAGCGUCAGUUUUUUCCAACUGAGGAAGAUGAAACUGGAGCUGCAAAGGCUCUGAUGCGCCUGCAGGACACAUACAAACUGGAUCCUGAAACUCUCUCUCGAGGACACUUACCAGGAACAAAAUACAGAUCCUCUUUGACAGUGGGUGACUGCUUUGGCAUGGGCAAGACUGCUUACAAUGAUGGAGACUACUAUCAUACGGUACUCUGGAUGGAACAAGCCUUAAAACAGCAUGACGAAGGGGAGGAUACAACAGUCAGCAAAGUGGAGAUCCUAGAUUAUCUCAGCUAUGCUGUCUUCCAGUUUGGGGAUUUACACAGAGCCACGGAGCUCACCAGACGUCUGAUAUCUCUUGACAGUACUCACGAGAGAGCAGGCAGUAAUCUCCGUUACUUUGAGAAAUUGCUGGAGAAGGAGAGAGAAGAUAAGUCAUUAAAUAAGACAAUGACUACAACAGAAGCUGUAGUGCAAGGUGGGGCCUAUGAGAGGCCUCUUGACUACCUACCAGAGCGUGAUAUCUAUGAGGCCCUCUGCAGAGGUGAAGGGGUGAAAAUGACGCCUCGAAGACAGAAAAGGCUGUUUUGUAGGUACCAUGAUGGAAACGGAAGCCCUCAUCUGCUAAUAGCCCCCUUCAAGGAGGAAGAUGAAUGGGACAGCCCUCAUAUAGUACGGUACUAUGAUGUUAUGUCUGAUGAAGAAAUUGAGAAAAUCAAACAGCUAGCAAAGCCAAGGCUGGCUCGAGCCACAGUACGUGAUCCUAAAACCGGUGUCCUUACAGUGGCUAGCUACAGGGUAUCCAAAAGCUCAUGGUUGGAGGAAGAUGAUGAUCCUGUUGUGGCCAAAGUGAAUCGCCGAAUGCAGCAGAUCACUGGCUUAACAGUGAAAACAGCUGAACUAUUGCAGGUUGCUAAUUAUGGAAUGGGAGGGCAGUAUGAGCCACACUUCGAUUUUUCUAGGAAAGAUGAGCCAGAUGCUUUCAAGCGGUUAGGGACUGGAAAUCGUGUGGCCACUUUUUUAAACUAUAGACUUCCUGGCAUCUUGAAGUAGAGACUUCAUUAUUCUUGCAGCAUCAGGUGCUGUCCCAUUUCAGUUGAUAGGGAUCUGAUAUUCUUUAACCUCAGUGCAGAAAGCCUAAUUUGAAUGAGGUCCAAUUUCCCUUUUUAGUCAUGCUAUUAUGAAGUCUUUGACUUCAUUGAAUUCCCAUUGGUGGCAGAGGAGAAUUUGGCUUAUUUCUCCAAGGUGAGUGCUUGGAGCACUCCUCACACUUAAGUUUGCGGUUUUGACUGUCGGCUGUUUACUGUGGAACAGUCACGUUUUUCCACUGUUGUUUGACAGCACUUGAUGUUGUGACAUGAUCUGUUGGCAGUCUCCAUUUUAACUGGUUGCAAAAAGCUGGAAUUACUCUGGCAUAGCUAUCACUUCAGGAAAUGGAGACAAAGCUAACAAAUUCAGUACAACUGGGGGAUGGGUUCCAAAUGCAGAACUGAAAAUAUUCAUUAGUGCAUGCGUUAUACAGCCUACGGACCAUGUACCCUGGAAUCAUAUACACAAUCGCUACUGAUAUGAGCGGCCUAACAUUUUGACAGUAGUUUUAUUCUGACAAUGCUUUAUCUGUCAGCCUAAUACUUAUCGGUUACUGGGAUCACCUAAUCUGGUAUGUCUUAACUUUUGACUAGAAACAACUUCAAAUUUACAAUUCCGUGAAGAAAUAUUUUGGCUGACCUGGUAUUUAGAAUGAAACGCAGCUCAAAACAGAACCGCAGUCGUUCUCAGCACAUGAGUGAAAAAAUCUCUAAAGCAAGAGUCAGAAUAAGAUGAGUAGCAGCAAAAUAGACUGCUCCUAAGAAGCUUUGUAACAUUUUAUUGCCUCAAUCCAUAUCUUAUAUCAGACUUUCAGACAAGCCUUCAUUGAGAAUGAACGAUACGUCUCUCUCUGCCAGUUGUACAUGGUCGAAGGCAACUUACCAUUAGUAUGCCCCAUGUAGAGCAUAUGCCACAUGUCCCAGCGUCACAACUAAAAAAGUAUGGUGGUUUGCCACGACAUAGGAAUUAACUUGCAAGGUUGCAUGCACGUGCUUUCUAGUUGGAAGGGGCAAAAAACUGUGUGCCCGUGGCAUCUUAUGCCCUUUUAUUGUAGGUACCAAGCAGGAGGACACCAAAGUGGUGAUAACAUCGUCUUUAAAGAGAAAUCCAAGUUAAAGUAGAAAAUAUGAAGACUUGGGGAAUGUAUUAAUGGUUGUUCUGCUGUUAAAUUUGGUGGGAGUAGGAUCUCGAUUAAUUUGUUUCUUUUUAAUUAGAACCUGAUCAAAAACUGAUUUGAAAUCAGUGGUAAGACUUUCUAUUUCAGUGGGCGUGUUUCCAGGAACUUCAGUGGGUUUUGGAUCAAGCCUGUAGAACUUAUAGCAAAUCUAUCCAUAAUGAAUUACAUAAGCUGAAAUUCCCUUCUAGUAUAAAGGGGCAAAGCAGAGAGGCACGCCUUUAGAGGUAUGGAGUCCUUGAAAAGUAGCGUGAGGCUGUUGAACAUCAUAGCAACAGUGCAGAAAAGUGAGGUUUUCUAAUCGUUUGUAUAGUGUCUGAAGUGGCUGACUGAGAUGCAUAAACUAAAACGUGGAAGUUUGUUCCAAAGACAUGGUUUUAAUUUGCAAGGAAAUGUGCGGUUUAAGAUAUCUCUUUGUUUUCCGAAUUGGACCAAAAGAAAUUGGAAUGAAGUUCUUGAAACUGACUUGCUCUGAAGUCCUCUCCCUUAUUCUAGAGGAGCUAGGUCAUUAACACUGCAGGUACACAACUUUUAUGGUUAUUUCUGUAAUAGAAGGUACACAAUCUAGAGGAAGCACUGAACAGAAGUCUUCAGUUGAAAUAAAAGCCUUCAAAAGUGGCUACUGUUUUGCCUUUGCAGUUCAUGUUGCUAGUAACGCACGCAUCCUCUUCUCAUCAGUGCCUCUCAAAGGUGCAGGUAGAAAUCCCGCUCUGUUAGGGCUUGGGGCCCUAUGGCUUGUGAAACUAUGUGCAUAAAAAGCACCGUAAAUAUAUGGCGUGUGCUGACCUUGUUUUCUCAGAUGAGCGAUGUAGAAGCUGGAGGUGCUACAGUUUUCCCAGACUUUGGGGCAGCAAUAUGGCCCAAGAAGGGUACAGCAGUGUUUUGGUACAAUCUUUU